rnacentral:rRNA from 1 species
UACGGGGGGGGCAAGCGUUGUUCGGAAUUACUGGGCGUAAAGGGCUCGUAGGCGGCCAACUAAGUCAGACGUGAAAUCCCUCGGCUUAACCGGGGAACUGCGUCUGAUACUGGAUGGCUUGAGUGUGGGAGAGGAAUGCGGAAUUCCAGGUGUAGCGGUGAAAUGCGUAGAUAUCUGGAGGAACACCGGUGGCGAAGGCGGCAUUCUGGACCAUUACUGACGCUGAGGAGCGAAAGCCAGGGGAGCAAACGGGAUUAGAUACCCCGGUAGUCCUGGCCCUAAACGAUGAAUGCUUGGUGUGACGGGUAUCGAUCCCUGUCGUGCCGAAGCUAACGCAUUAAGCAUUCCGCCUGGGGAGUACGGUCGCAAGGCUGAA